rnacentral:rRNA from 1 species
UAGGGAAUCUUCGGCAAUGGACGAAAGUCUGACCGAGCAACGCCGCGUGAGUGAAGAAGGUUUUCGGAUCGUAAAACUCUGUUGUUAGAGAAGAACAAGGACGUUAGUAACUGAACGUCCCCUGACGGUAUCUAACCAGAAAGCCACGGCUAACUACGUGCCAGCAGCCGCGGUAAUACGUAGGUGGCAAGCGUUGUCCGGAUUUAUUGGGCGUAAAGCGAGCGCAGGCGGUUUCUUAAGUCUGAUGUGAAAGCCCCCGGCUCAACCGGGGAGGGUCAUUGGAAACUGGGAGACUUGAGUGCAGAAGAGGAGAGUGGAAUUCCAUGUGUAGCGGUGAAAUGCGUAGAUAUAUGGAGGACACCAGUGGCGAAGGCGGCUCUCUGGUCUGUAACUGACGCUGAGGCUCGAAAGCGUGGGGAGCAAACAGG